GGGCCCGCACAAGCGGUGGAGCAUGUGGUUUAAUUCGAUGAUACGCGAGGAACCUUACCAGGGCUUAAAUGUAAGUUGCAUAGAUCAGAGAUGGUCUUUUCUUCGGACUACUUACAAGGUGCUGCAUGGUUGUCGUCAGCUCGUGCCGUGAGGUGUCAGGUUAAGUCCUAUAACGAGCGCAACCCCUGUCGUUAGUUGCCAGCAAGUAAAGUUGGGCACUCUAGCGAGACUGCCGGUGCAAACCGCGAGGAAGGUGGGGAUGACGUCAAAUCAUCACGGCCCUUACGUCCUGGGCUACACACGUGCUACAAUGGCCGGUACAGAGAGCAGCCACUCCGCGAGGAGGAGCGAA
rnacentral:rRNA from 1 species